GACUCUCGGAAACGGAUAUCUUGGCUCUUGCAUCAAUGAAUAAGGUAAUGAAAUGCGAUACUUGGUGUGAAUUACAGAACCCUGUGAACCAUCGAGUCUUUGAAUGCAAGUUGCACCCGAAGCCAUUAGGCCGAGGGCAUGUCUGCCUGGGCGCCU
rnacentral:rRNA from 1 species